AUACGGAGGAUCCGAGCGUUAUCCGGAUUUAUUGGGUUUAAAGGGUGCGUAGGCGGUUUGCUAAGCGGGAGGUGAAAUGCCGGCGCUCAACGUCGGAAGUGCCUCCCGAACUGGUGGACUUGAAUGACUCUGCCGUGGGAGGAAUGUGUAGUGUAGCGGUGAAAUGCUUAGAGAUUACACAGAACACCGAUUGCGAAGGCAUCUCACGAAGGGUUGAUUGACGCUGAGGCACGAAAGCGUGGGGAUCAAACAGGAUUAGAUACCCUGGUAGUCCACGCAGUAAACGAUGAUGGCUAACCGCUGGGCUUAUCAGUUCAGUGGCCAAGCGAAAGCGAUAAGCCAUCCACCUGGGGAGUACGACCGCAAGGUUGAAACUCAAAUGAAUUGACGGGG
rnacentral:rRNA from 1 species